rnacentral:rRNA from 1 species
UUAUAAUUAAAAAUUAAUUAAGAAGAAAUUAAAUAGAGAUAUUAAAUUUAAAGUAUUUGGCGGUAUUUUAAAUAGUUAGAGGAAUUUGUUAAAUAAAUGAUAAUCCACGAGUGGAAGGUCCUAAAAUAAUUUUUAUGUAUUGUUGUAUUAAAAUUAUUUUCGAAGAAAUAUAAUUAAAAAGUUUAAGAUAAUUUGAAUUCAAAUCAAAAUGUAGAAUUAUUAGGUUUAAAUGAAUUACAGUUUAAUUAAAUAAUAGAAUUAUUUUUUUAAUAAGAAUAAUGAAAGAGAAUUUAAAAGUAAAUUUAAAAAAAUAUUUAGAUUGAAAUAUUAAUUAAAAUAUG